rnacentral:rRNA from 1 species
AGUGAACGCUGGCGGUAGGCCUAACACAUGCAAGUCGAACGGCAGCACAGUAAGAGCUUGCUCUUACGGGUGGCGAGUGGCGGACGGGUGAGGAAUACAUCGGAAUCUACUUUUUCGGGGGGGAUAACGUAGGGAAACUUACGCUAAUACCGCAUACGACCUACGGGUGAAAGCAGGGGAUCUUCGGACCUUGCGCGAUUGAAUGAGCCGAUGUCGGACUAGCUAGUUGGCGGGGUAAAGGCCCACCAAGGCGACGAUCGGUAGCUGGUGUGAGAGGAUGGUCAGCCACCUUGGAACUGAGACACGGUCCAGACUCCUACGGGACGCAGCAGUGGGGAAUAUUGGACAAUGGGCGCAAGCCUGGUCCAGCCAUACCGCGUGGGAGAAGAAGGCCUUCGGGUUGUAAAGCCCUUUUGUUGGGAAAGAAAAGCAGCAGGUUAAUACCCCGCUGUUCUGACGGUACCCAAAGAAGAAGCACCGGCUAACUUCGUG